UACGUAGGGUGCAAGCGUUAAUCGGAAUUACUGGGCGUAAAGGGCCAGUAGGCGGCCAACUAAGUCGGAUGUGAAAUCCCCAGGCUUAACCUGGGAACUGCAUCCGAUACUGGAUGGCUUGAAUUCGGGAGAGGGAUGCAGAAUUCCAGGUGUAGCGGUGAAAUGCGUAGAUAUCUGGAGGAAUACCGGUGGCGAAGGCGGCAUCCUGGGCCUGUUCUGACGCUGAGGCGCGAAAGCUAGGGGAGCGAACAGG
rnacentral:rRNA from 1 species